UCUCCGUUGGUGAACCAGCGGAGGGAUCAUUACAGAGUUGCAAAACUCCCUAAACCACUGUGAACGUUACCUAUGCCGUUGCUUCGGCGGGCGGCCCCGGGGUUUACCCCCCGGGCGCCCCUGGGCCCCACCGCGGGCGCCCGCCGGAGGUCACCAAACUCUUGAUAAUUUAUGGCCUCUCUGAGUCUUCUGUACUGAAUAAGUCAAAACUUUCAACAACGGAUCUCUUGGUUCUGGCAUCGAUGAAGAACGCAGCGAAAUGCGAUAAGUAAUGUGAAUUGCAGAAUUCAGUGAAUCAUCGAAUCUUUGAACGCACAUUGCGCCCGCCAGCAUUCUGGCGGGCAUGCCUGUUCGAGCGUCAUUUCAACCAUCAAGCCCCCGGGCUUGUGUUGGGGACCUGCGGCUGCCGCAGGCCCUGAAAAGCAGUGGCGGGCUCGCUGUCGCACCGAGCGUAGUAGCAUACAUCUCGCUCUGGUCGCGCCGCGGGUUCCGGCCGUUAAACCACCUUUUAACCCAAGGUUGACCUCGGAUCAGGUAGGAAGACCCGCUGAACUUAAGCAUAUCAAUAAGCGGAGGAAAAGAAACCAACAGGGAUUGCCUUAGUAACG
rnacentral:rRNA from 1 species